rnacentral:rRNA from 1 species
UACGUAGGGGGCAAGCGUUGUUCGGAAUUACUGGGCGUAAAGGGCGCGUAGGCGGCCUGCUAAGUCGAACGUGAAAUCCCUGGGCUCAACCCAGGAACUGCGUCCGAUACUGGUUGGCUUGAAUCCGGGAGAGGGACGUGGAAUUCCAGGUGUAGCGGUGAAAUGCGUAGAUAUCGAGAGGAACACCUGCGGCGAAGGCGGGUUGCUGGGCCGACACUGACGCUGAUGCGCGAAAGCCAGGGGAGCGAACGGG